GACGAACGCUGGCGGCGUGCCUAAUACAUGCAAGUCGAGCGGACCAAAGGGAGCUUGCUCCUGGAGGUUAGCGGCGAACGGGUGAGUAACACGUGGGCAACCUGCCUGUAAGACUGGGAUAACAUCGAGAAAUCGGUGCUAAUACCGGAUAAUAAAAAGAACUGCAUGGUUCUUUUUUGAAAGAUGGUUUCGGCUAUCACUUACAGAUGGGCCCGCGGCGCAUUAGCUAGUUGGUGAGGUAACGGCUCACCAAGGCGACGAUGCGUAGCCGACCUGAGAGGUGAUCGGCCACACUGGGACUGAGACACGGCCCAGACUCCUACGGGAGGCAGCAGUAGGGAAUCUUCCGCAAUGGACGAAAGUCUGACGGAGCAACGCCGCGUGAGUGAUGAAGGUUUUCGGAUCGUAAAACUCUGUUGUUAGGGAAGAACAAGUGCCGUUCGAAAGGCGGCACCUUGACGGUACCUAACGAGAAAGCCACGGCUAACUACGUGCCAGCAGCCGCGGUAAG
rnacentral:rRNA from 1 species